UCUCUCUCUCUGUCUCUCUUUCUUUUAUCCCAUCACUUAUUCAGUCAGGUUAUUAAUAAACAGGUCCUGUCUCCAUUGUAACCAUGGUGACAUCCUGGGUCCAGGGUCAGGUCCAGGACUCUGUUCAGGACUUCUGACCCCCACCUGUCUGUCCCCAAACCGCCUCCGGUGUUUAGACUGACACCAGUUUGAAGUAAACAAGACAACAACACAAACUGUUUGACCACUCGAGUCUACGAGUCACUCGGGCCCAACCUGAAGCUAAUUGAUCACCGACAGGAAGUAACACCAAAAGACGACAGCAACGUGUGUUCACCGACCCGUUCAGGAGGCGUUCAAGAGCCCUCACAGUUACAGGUCACAUAAUUACUGUUCCUUUAAUGCUGCUUGUCAAACUCUUUAUUUCUCUUUGUCAAAUGUUUCUUCUGUUUUUUC